AUUGAACGCUGGCGGCAUGCCUUACACAUGCAAGUCGAACGGCAGCACGGGGGCAACCCUGGUGGCGAGUGGCGAACGGGUGAGUAAUGCAUCGGAACGUACCCAGUCGUGGGGGAUAACGCAGCGAAAGUUGUGCUAAUACCGCAUACGACCUGAGGGUGAAAGCGGGGGACCGUAAGGCCUCGCGCGAUUGGAGCGGCCGAUGUCUGAUUAGCUAGUUGGUGGGGUAAAGGCCCACCAAGGCGACGAUCAGUAGCGGGUCUGAGAGGAUGAUCCGCCACACUGGGACUGAGACACGGCCCAGACUCCUACGGGAGGCAGCAGUGGGGAAUUUUGGACAAU
rnacentral:rRNA from 1 species